CAUGUUUUGUGCAGCCCUGUUCCUGUUCCUAGCAGCUGCCGGUAUGAAAUGUGAACAGCUGACACAGCCAGCUUCUGUGACUGUGCAGCCUGGUCAGCCUCUAGCCAUCAGAUGUCAGGUUUCUUAUUCUGUCACCGGCUACUGGACCCACUGGAUCAGACACUCUGCAGAAAAAGGACUGGAGUGGAUUGGUCAGGUAGCUGGAUCUACAACAUACUACAAAGAUUCACUAAGAAAUAAAUUUAGCAUUUCUACAGAUUCUUCCAGCAGCACAGUGACUCUGACUGGGCAGAAUGUGCAGCCUAAAGAUAAUGCAGUGUAUUACUGUGCCAGAGAGCCACAGUGGCACAAACAAGCUGCAGAGCUGUACAAAAACACCCAGAUGGUUACCUGUCAACCAGAGGAGGCGCUCUUUGUGGGAUUAAAAAAACAGAUUUGUCAGACACACUGGAGAAUAAAACUCAAAUGA